rnacentral:rRNA from 1 species
ACGGAGCAAGACCGCGUGAGGGAAGAAGGUCUGUGGAUUGUAAACCUCUUUUGACAGGGAAGAAGACAGUGACGGUACCUGUCGAAUCAGCCUCGGCUAACUCCGUGCCAGCAGCCGCGGUAAUACGGAGGAGGCAAGCGUUAUCCGGAAUUAUUGGGCGUAAAGAGUCCGUAGGUGGGUCACCCAGUCAGCUGUUAAAUAGUGAAGCUUAACUUCAUAGAGGCGGCUGAAACUGGUGGUCUAGAGUGUGGUAGGGGUAGAGGGAAUUUCCAGUGUAGCGGUGAAAUGCGUAGAUAUUGGAAAGAACACCGGUGGCGAAAGCGCUCUACUGGGCCUGCACUGACACUGAGGGACGAAAGCUAGGGGAGCG